AAACCAGUGGACAUAUGAAUUGGAAUGGCUUCAAUGGGUACCCACAUUUGUCAAACUUGGGAAUGGAAGCAUCGGGAAAAUGGAAAAUGCAUAUGAUGCCAUGCCAUUCAGAAGUUUCAGGGGCACAUGGUGGUGUGGACAUAAAUUUAAUGAGAAACAUGCAAGCUAAUAAACAGGGAACAACAGAGCAUCAGCCUGGUUUUCCUUCACGGGAAGCUUCUAAGGAUAAGAGAGUUGAUGUCGUUUCAGGCCCUGCAGACAAUAAUCGCAAAUUAUCUGGUCGUCAUAUGAUUGACUUUUUCUCAAGCAGUGAGCCAAAUCCAUCAAAAAAUAUAGUUUCUGUCAACGAGGAAGACCUACAAGUUUCUGCUCAUACCCCAAAAGAAUUUCUUUCACAAUUCUCCGAGGUUGACCAACAAUUGGAGCCAACAAGGUUGAUCAAGUCUGAUACAUCUGCUAUGAGCUGUGAGCAAGAAACAUCAUCUUGGAGACCACUACAAGAAAUACAAUGCAGAGCUCAGAAAAGGAGCUGUACUAUGUAGUAAUCAUUUACAUUUCUGUACGACAGAGAUUAGAAUUUUGUAAAUUUAAUAUAUUGUUGGAAAGAUUCUGACAGUUCAGAACCAUAUUUUUCAUCACAAUGAAGGUACAUAAGUAGGGUAGUGAUCCUGGGCGACUUCUGGAUCUUACAAAAUUUGUAGGAUACAAAGAGCUCUUCCAUGACCUUGAGGUGAUGUUCAAUUUUGAAGGACAACUGGAGGAUCCAAACAAAGGCUGGCAAGUUGUCUACACAGAUGAUGAGGGAGAUAUGAUGCUUGUAGGAGAUGAUCCGUGGCAGUGAGAAAAGGAGGCAUUUGCUGACAGCUGGGUGGAGAGUCUUUGUUAACUCCGAAAGGCUUGUAGCAGGAGAUGCAUUCAUCUUUAUGAGGGAUAAAAAUGGCGAACUACAUGUAGGGGUCGGCGUGCCAUGCAUCAGCAAAGUAACAUUCCUGUCCGUAGUUAUAUCCAGUCGCAGAAUGGAGAUUUUUGUCCUUGCUGCUGCGUCACAUGCCAUUCCAGG